AGAUUAAGUUAUUAAGGGCGCACGGUGGAUGCCUUGGCACUAGAAGCCGAUGAAGGACGUUACUAACGACGAUAUGCUUUGGGGAGCUGUAAGUAAGCUUUGAUCCAGAGAUUUCCGAAUGGGGAAACCCAGCAUGAGUUAUGUCAUGUUAUCGAUAUGUGAAUACAUAGCAUAUCAGAAGGCACACCCGGAGAACUGAAACAUCUUAGUACCCGGAGGAAGAGAAAGAAAAUUCGAUUCCCUUAGUAGCGGCGAGCGAAACGGGAAGAGCCCAAACCAACAAGCUUGCUUGUUGGGGUUGUAGGACACUCUAUACGGAGUUACAAAGGACGACAUUAGACGAAUCAUCUGGAAAGAUGAAUCAAAGAAGGUAAUAAUCCUGUAGUCGAAAAUGUUGUCUCUCUUGAGUGGAUCCUGAGUACGACGGAGCACGUGAAAUUCCGUCGGAAUCUGGGAGGACCAUCUCCUAAGGCUAAAUACUCUCUAGUGACCGAUAGUGAACCAGUACCGUGAGGGAAAGGUGAAAAGCACCCCGGAAGGGGAGUGAAAUAGAACCUGAAACCGUGUGCUUACAAGUAGUCAGAGCCCGUUAAUGGGUGAUGGCGUGCCUUUUGUAGAAUGAACCGGCGAGUUACGAUUUGAUGCAAGGUUAAGCAGUAAAUGUGGAGCCGUAGCGAAAGCGAGUCUGAAUAGGGCGUUUAGUAUUUGGUCGUAGACCCGAAACCAGGUGAUCUACCCUUGGUCAGGUUGAAGUUCAGGUAACACUGAAUGGAGGACCGAACCGACUUACGUUGAAAAGUGAGCGGAUGAACUGAGGGUAGCGGAGAAAUUCCAAUCGAACCUGGAGAUAGCUGGUUCUCUCCGAAAUAGCUUUAGGGCUAGCCUCAAGUGAUGAUUAUUGGAGGUAGAGCACUGUUUGGACGAGGGGCCCCUCUCGGGUUACCGAAUUCAGACAAACUCCGAAUGCCAAUUAAUUUAACUUGGGAGUCAGAACAUGGGUGAUAAGGUCCAUGUUCGAAAGGGAAACAGCCCAGACCACCAGCUAAGGUCCCAAAAUAUAUGUUAAGUGGAAAAGGAUGUGGCGUUGCCCAGACAACUAGGAUGUUGGCUUAGAAGCAGCCAUCAUUUAAAGAGUGCGUAAUAGCUCACUAGUCGAGUGACACUGCGCCGAAAAUGUACCGGGGCUAAACAUAUUACCGAAGCUGUGGAUUGUCCUUUGGACAAUGGUAGGAGAGCGUUCUAAGGGCGUUGAAGCAUGAUCGUAAGGACAUGUGGAGCGCUUAGAAGUGAGAAUGCCGGUGUGAGUAGCGAAAGAUGGGUGAGAAUCCCGUCCACCGAUUGACUAAGGUUUCCAGAGGAAGGCUCGUCCGCUCUGGGUUAGUCGGGUCCUAAGCUGAGGCCGACAGGCGUAGGCGAUGGAUAACAGGUUGAUAUUCCUGUACCACCUAUAAUCGUUUUAAUCGAUGGGGGACGCAGUAGGAUAGGCGAAGCGUGCGAUUGGAUUGCACGUCUAAGCAGUAAGGCUGAGUAUUAGGCAAAUCCGGUACUCGUUAAGGCUGAGCUGUGAUGGGGAGAAGACAUUGUGUCUUCGAGUCGUUGAUUUCACACUGCCGAGAAAAGCCUCUAGAUAGAAAAUAGGUGCCCGUACCGCAAACCGACACAGGUAGUCAAGAUGAGAAUUCUAAGGUGAGCGAGCGAACUCUCGUUAAGGAACUCGGCAAAAUGACCCCGUAACUUCGGGAGAAGGGGUGCUCUUUAGGGUUAACGCCCAGAAGAGCCGCAGUGAAUAGGCCCAAGCGACUGUUUAUCAAAAACACAGGUCUCUGCUAAACCGUAAGGUGAUGUAUAGGGGCUGACGCCUGCCCGGUGCUGGAAGGUUAAGAGGAGUGGUUAGCUUCUGCGAAGCUACGAAUCGAAGCCCCAGUAAACGGCGGCCGUAACUAUAACGGUCCUAAGGUAGCGAAAUUCCUUGUCGGGUAAGUUCCGACCCGCACGAAAGGCGUAACGAUUUGGGCACUGUCUCAACGAGAGACUCGGUGAAAUCAUAGUACCUGUGAAGAUGCAGGUUACCCGCGACAGGACGGAAAGACCCCGUGGAGCUUUACUGUAGCCUGAUAUUGAAAUUCGGCACAGCUUGUACAGGAUAGGUAGGAGCCUUUGAAACGUGAGCGCUAGCUUACGUGGAGGCGCUGGUGGGAUACUACCCUAGCUGUGUUGGCUUUCUAACCCGCACCACUUAUCGUGGUGGGAGACAGUGUCAGGCGGGCAGUUUGACUGGGGCGGUCGCCUCCUAAAAGGUAACGGAGGCGCUCAAAGGUUUCCUCAGAAUGGUUGGAAAUCAUUCAUAGAGUGUAAAGGCAUAAGGGAGCUUGACUGCGAGACCUACAAGUCGAGCAGGGUCGAAAGACGGACUUAGUGAUCCGGUGGUUCCGCAUGGAAGGGCCAUCGCUCAACGGAUAAAAGCUACCCCGGGGAUAACAGGCUUAUCUCCCCCAAGAGUUCACAUCGACGGGGAGGUUUGGCACCUCGAUGUCGGCUCAUCGCAUCCUGGGGCUGUAGUCGGUCCCAAGGGUUGGGCUGUUCGCCCAUUAAAGCGGUACGCGAGCUGGGUUCAGAACGUCGUGAGACAGUUCGGUCCCUAUCCGUCGUGGGCGUAGGAAAUUUGAGAGGAGCUGUCCUUAGUACGAGAGGACCGGGAUGGACAUACCUCUGGUGUACCAGUUGUCGUGCCAACGGCAUAGCUGGGUAGCUAUGUGUGGACGGGAUAAGUGCUGAAAGCAUCUAAGCAUGAAGCCCCCCUCAAGAUGAGAUUUCCCAACUUCGGUUAUAAGAUCCCUCAAAGAUGAUGAGGUUAAUAGGUUCGAGGUGGAAGCAUGGUGACAUGUGGAGCUGACGAAUACUAAUCGAUCGAAGACUUAAUCAAAUU
rnacentral:rRNA from 1 species